rnacentral:tRNA from 1 species
UGCAUCUGUGGCCGAGAGGCCGAAGGCAGCGGACUCAUUGUGAAGGACAACGCUGGUUCGAAUCCAGCCAGAUGCAG